CGUAACACGUAUGCAACCUGCCUUCAACAGGGGGAUAGCCCGGGGAAACUCGGAUUAAUACCCCAUAACACAUUUGGUCAGCAUUGAUUGAUUGUUAAAGCUCCGGCGGUUGAAGAUGGGCAUGCGUUCGAUUAGCUAGUUGGUGUAGGUAACGGCUCACCAAGGCUACGAUCGAUAGGGGGUCUGAGAGGAUGAUCCCCCACACUGGUACUGAGAUACGGACCAG
rnacentral:rRNA from 1 species